ACGCCGAAAGUUCCACAGCAUGGCGCGCCCAGUAUCCGGUGUCCAUGGCGUCAUGGCCGGGUGGAAAUUUAAAACCCGGGGGCUGAACAGAAAAACUGGCCCGGUCUGAAACAGUGCGUAACGUUCAGAGACAGGAGGAGCCCGGAAACUUACCUGAACAGGACAAGGCCCUCCUGUAAGGUGUAGUGAGAAGACACAGGGGAACCUUGUUUUUUAAAACUCACCCAGAGGGUAGAUCUACAAACCAACAGAAUUUCCUUGUGGAUCUUCAGCAGGUCCUGGUUGACCUACAGUCUACAAAAGUA